GUUUCCAAUAUUAUUUCUCUGCCAACCCAACAUAGCUAGUUUGCUCCUUAUAAUGUCAGCUAGUUUAAAUUUUUAUGUUUAGACUUAUCUCUGUUGGAAUCUUCUAACUAUGCAAGCCCAGCAAAAAGAGAAAAAGCUAGAUAAGAGUUGUGUCAAUACAUCAUCAUUGCUUAGAGAAGAAGAAGAAGAGAAGAAUGGGAAAGAAAAAGAAAAGAAAAUAAAAGAAAACACAGGCAUCAUCAUUACAAUAUUGAAGAAAAAGUGCGUCACAAGAAAGUCGGAGGAAGAUGCGGAUGUAGGAACAGCCAAACAAAAAGCAGCACAAGAUCAGCUGGUAGAUCUCACCAGCCUAGGCCAUGACAAGCCAUGCAGAUCAGCC